GGUUAAGCGACUAAGCGUACACGGUGGAUGCCCUGGCAGUCAGAGGCGAUGAAGGGCGUGCUAAUCUGCGAUAAGCGCCGGUAAGGUGAUAUGAACCGUUAUAACCGGCGAUACCCGAAUGGGGAAACCCAGUGUGACUCGUCACACUAUCAUUAACUGAAUCCAUAGGUUAAUGAGGCGAACCGGGGGAACUGAAACAUCUAAGUACCCCGAGGAAAAGAAAUCAACCGAGAUUCCCCCAGUAGCGGCGAGCGAACGGGGAGGAGCCCAGAGCCUGAAUCAGCAUGUGUGUUAGUGGAAGCGUCUGGAAAGGCGCGCGAUACAGGGUGAUAGCCCCGUACACAAAAGCGCAUGUGUUGUGAGCUCGAUGAGUAGGGCGGGACACGUGGUAUCCUGUCUGAAUAUGG
rnacentral:rRNA from 1 species